GACGAACGCUGGCGGCGUGCUUAACACAUGCAAGUCGAACGGAAAGGCCCUGCUUUUGUGGGGUGCUCAAGUGGCGAACGGGUGAGUAACACGUGAGUAACCUGCCCUUGACUUUGGGAUAACUUCAGGAAACUGGGGCUAAUACCGGAUAGGAGCUCCUGCUGCAUGGUGGGGGUUGGAAAGUUUCGGCGGUUGGGGAUGGACUCGCGGCUUAUCAGCUUGUUGGUGGGGUAGUGGCUUACCAAGGCUUUGACGGGUAGCCGGCCUGAGAGGGUGACCGGCCACAUUGGGACUGAGAUACGGCCCAGACUCCUACGGGAGGCAGCAGUGGGGAAUAUUGCACAAUGGGCGGAAGCCUGAUGCAGCAACGCCGCGUGCGGGAUGACAGCCUUCGGGUUGUAAACCGCUUUCGCCUGUGACGAAGCGUGAGUGACGGUAAUGGGUAAAGAAGCACCGGCUAACUACGUG
rnacentral:rRNA from 1 species